AACAUCCCUUACGUUUAAACAGAAAAAGAGAACAAUAGUAUCUCAUAUAAUAAAUAGGAUUCUAUACAUUAAAAUAUUGCUUCCUGUUUUCUUGAGAAAAAAUUGCACGUCACUCUACUUAUUCAUAACAAUAAUAAUUUUAAUAUUAAUAUUAAUGCCCUAUGACCGCCCUAAAAACCCCUUCACUGGGAUUCUAUUGCUUCCCAAUACGUGAUUCAUUCAUUCAUUCAUUCUCCUAUCCAUCCAUCCAUUCAUUCAUUCGUAGUGGGUACCGUAGCACGCUUUCCGACAGGGGAAUAUGCUUUGUUUUUCAGGAUUUUUCUAUUACCAACAACGAUUGAGAAGCAACAGAUCACCGAAUGUCGAGACUGUGAAGCGGGGCCCGCCAAUGCAGUGGAAGAAGGCCUGGAACGCGGCACUGACCGGCACUACGAGCCUUCACCUACCUCACCUGAGUACUACCCCCGAAAUACCAUUUUGCGGUGCAAUCCGCGUCGGAUGAGUUGCUGCGGCGAUGGAGUUCCCAGCCUUCAAUCUUUAAACAUUACUGCAAUUGGAAGGCUCGUGGAUCGAUCAGGACACAGGUCAUCGGAGCAUGACAUU
rnacentral:lncRNA from 1 species